rnacentral:rRNA from 1 species
UACGGGGGGAGCAAGCGUUGUUCGGAUUUACUGGGCGUAAAGGGCGCGUAGGCGGUCACGACAAGUCAGUUGUGAAAUCUCCGGGCUUAACUCGGAACGGUCAACUGAUACUGUCGGACUAGAGUGCAGAAGGGGCAACUGGAAUUCUCGGUGUAGCGGUGAAAUGCGUAGAUAUCGAGAGGAACACCUGCGGCGAGGGCGGGUUGCUGGGCUGACACUGACGCUGAGGCGCGAAAGCUAGGGGAGCGAACGGG